AUGGCCAUGGCGCCAUCGCCCGCAAGCGCUUCCUCCUCCACCACCUCCCCUCUCCUGCCCUCCUCCCCAUCCAUCUCUGCCUUCCUUGCCUCACACCCGGCCCUCACCCUCCUCCACACGCAAUGCGCCACCAUGGCUCACCUCCGCCAGCUCCACGCCGCGCUCGUCAAGUCUGGCCUCGCCAAAGACCCCAUCGCCGCCAGCCGCGCCGUCGCCUUCUGCGCCGGCGAAGGACGCGACGCUGCCUACGCCGCGCGCAUCGUCAGGCACCACCCGAGGCCCAACUCCUUCAUGUGGAACACCGUCAUAAGGGCGCUGUCCGACGGGCCCGGUCCGGACGCGGCCGUGGCGCUGUUUCUCGACAUGCUCUGGUCGCCCACGCCGCCGGAGCGGCGCACGUUCCCGUCUCUGUUCGCCGCAUACGCGCGCCUCGGCCGCGCCGACGACGGCGCGGCGCUCCACGGCAUGGUGCUCAAGCUCGGCCUCGCCGGGGACGCGUAUACACGCAACUCCAUGAUCGCCAUGUACGCGUCAUGCGGCCGCGCGGACGAGGCUCUGGCGCUCUUCAGGCAGUGUCAAGAGUUCGACGUUGUGGCGUGCAACAGCGCUAUCGUGGCGCUCUCGAGGGCGGGGCGCGUCGACGAAGCGCGGGCGGUGUUCGCCGACAUGCCGGCCAGGACCGUGGCGACGUGGAGCGCCAUGGUUAGCGCGUACUCCCGCGCCGCGAGGUUCCAAGACGCCGUCGACCUCUUCUCCGCGAUGCAGGUGGACGGCGUGGAGCCGAACGCCAACGUGCUCGUCAGCGUCCUCGGCUGCUGCGCAAGCCUCGGCGCGCUGGAGCAGGGCGCGUGGGUGCACGCGUACAUAGACAAGCACGACGUGGCCAUGAACGCGCUCGUGGUCACCGCCCUCGUGGACAUGUACUGCAAGUGUGGCUCAAUACACAAGGCUCGCCAGGUGUUCGACACCACGAGAUCGCAGGGCAUGGCCAAGCUGUCGUCCUGGAACGCCAUGAUGCUUGGCCUGGCAGCGCACGGGCAAUGCCAGGAAGCGGUCACCUUGUUCUCCGAGCUGGAACCUUACGGUCUCCGACCGGACAAGGUCACCUUCAUCGCGAUGCUGAUGGCCUACGGCCAUUCCGGCAUGACCUACGAGGCGAAGGCUCUGUUCGCGUCAAUGGCGAGGGAAUACGGUGUUACACCGGGAAUCGAGCACUAUGGCUGCCUUGUCGACGCGCUCGCCCGGGCCGGAAGGCUCCGGGAGGCGGAGGACACCAUCCGGGCAAUGCCGAUGAAGCCAGACGCGGCCAUUUGGGGCGCCCUGCUCUCCGGAUGCCGCUUGCACGGCGACGCGGAGGCGGGGGCGCGCGCGGCGCGUGGAGCCGUGGAAUGCGACCCACAGGACAGCGGCGCGUACGUGCUCGCGGCAAAUGUGCUUGCAUGCGACGGCGAGGUAGGCCGGGGCUUGGGUGUCAGGGGGGAGAUGCGGGAGGAGGGAGUGGCCAAGGUGCCCGGGUGUAGCAUGAUCGAGGUGAAUGGUGUCGUCCACGAGUUCAUGAGCUAG
rnacentral:rRNA from 1 species